rnacentral:rRNA from 1 species
UACGUAGGUGGCAAGCGUUGUCCGGAUUUACUGGGCGUAAAGGGCGUGCAGGCGGUUUGUUAAGUGCAGGGUGAAAGCUCCCGGCUCAACUGGGAGAGGUCCUUGCAUACUGGCAAACUCGAGGGAGGCAGAGGAAAGUGGAAUUCCCGGUGUAGUGGUGAUAUGCGUAGAUAUCGGGAGGAACACCUGUGGCGAAGGCGGCUUUCUGGGCCUUACCUGACGCUGAGG